CACCGGCGGCCCGAGUGGUAACCGUUAUUAUUGGGUCUAAAGGGUCUGUAGCCGGCCAUGUAAGUCCCUUGGGAAAUCUGGCAGCUCAACUGUCAGGCUGCUAGGGGAUACUGCUUGGCUUGGGACCGGGAGAGGUGAGAGGUACCUUGAGGGUAGGGGUGAAAUCUUGUGAUCCUCGGGGGACCACCAGUGGCGAAGGCGUCUCACCAGAACGGAUCCGACGGUAAGGGACGAAAGCUAGGGGCACGAACCGGAUUAGAUACCCGCGUAGUCCG
rnacentral:rRNA from 1 species